GAGCCCGCGUGGGUAUUUUAGAGCAGGGAGCUCUCUCUUUAGAUCCUAACACCAGAAAGCUAGCCCUGCCUACAGUUCUCCAGAGUGGAACAUGAAAUCAUCGUUCCUGUUCACUCUUCCUGGGCUGGAGAUCAGCUCCCAAGGUGAAGCGGGCAUCUCUGAACAGCAGACUCCAGAGCCUGAUCCCACGGGAUGAGAUGUCAGCAUUGGCUUUUGAGGAACUGAAGAGCAGUCACUCAACCCUGGAACAUUUCUGGGCCAGACUCUGCUUUAGGUGCUGAACUUGCAGGUACAAGUUAAGUGCAGCUGCAAACCUCAAAGAACUUCUCCAAGAACUCACUCUUUAGCAAGGAGAUCCCAACAGAGAGGGGAGCAUAAAGGAAGAAGUGUGCUGCUUGAGGCGAUGGGGAAGUUUCCUCACCACCAACUGCUCUGCCUCAUUUGGCUUCUUGCACCAUCACACCCACACCCUCAUCAUGUACAAGUUUGGGGCUUUUUUUCGAAUGAUAAAACUAAGGAUCAGAAGGCUGAAUCAACAGCUCACUUGGAAUGUGAUUUAAACAUGUGUGCGGUGUACAGAUAGGACCAUCAGCCAGGAGACUCCAUGCUCUUGAACCAAGGGAUGUUUCUGUUGUCCUGCAGGGGCUAAAACACAAACUACAAGCUUUGCUGAGCCCACCUUUUUCUCUCUCCAUAAGUAUGAAGAUGAGUAUCAGAAACACCAAAAAGGAGACUGUGACGCUGAUGGAAAAGCUGCUACCUGAUAUUGCUGAGUGUUGUCCUUCUGAGAAAGAAGACACAUUUACAAAAACAGCACAAAAUGUAAACUUGGAGUCCGGUUUGGGGCUAUGAGCGAUUAUUUUCAUUUCAAUGGUGUCUUGUUCACGGACUUGACUUCUUAUCAGGGGAAGUGCCCUAGUCAAAUAAAUAUUUCCAUUAGUUUUAUUUACUAAAAAGAAAGGAGAUGGAGUUUCCAAAGAGUAAAGAAUAACUCCAUCAAUACCAGCAUCUGCAUCUGAUGCUUCCACUUUGCCAACCAACUGUCUUAUUUUAUUCUUUUCUGGAAGGUUGAAAAAAUAUUGAUCUUGAGUAAAAAUGGGUUCAAACUCAUCUAUCCCUUCAAUAUCCAACCAAACCAUUAAAGAGGCUGCUGAGUCCCCUUUGUCUUUUGCCUGAACUGUGAGGCAGUAUUUACUGUCAUUUUCAUAGUCAAGGACUUGCUUAGUGUGAAUAUCCCCUGUUAAAGGGUCAAUGAGGAAGGGAUGAUGAUCACGAGGCAUCCCGUGAGUGGUGGAACAGGGCGAUAAAAUAGAAUAGGUCAAUUCUCCAUAAGGACCUGCAUCAAAAUCCAAAGCGUUUACGGAACAUACAGUGGAGAAAACAGGGACAUUUUCAGGAACAACACAAUUUAAGUUUGAGAACAUAAACUGAGGUGCAUGGUCAUUAUCAUCCAGGACAUUGAUAAACACAACCGCAAAAGAAAAAUGCUUCCUUUCUUCAUCUGAAGCUUGAAUAGUUAAGGUGAAUUUUGUCGUUUCUUCAUAAUCCAGAGGUUUAAUCAAAUAAAGAACUCCAGUUUUUUCUUCCAAGUGAAAAUGCCCCCUCUCAUUUCCAGAGAUGAUGUGGUAGAUGAUUUCUGCAUGUGGACCCACAUCACGGUCAUUUGCAGAGACCACAGUGAUGUGACUCCCUAGAGGGGUACUUUCCUUGACAUGGGCAUGAUAUUUCAGACUGCUGAAUUUAGGUGGAUUAUCAUUGACAUCAAGUACUUCUAUUGAUACAAUGGCUGUAGAGCUCAAUGGAGGGCAGCCAUGGUCAGAUGCCACAAUGACAAGGUUAUGACUGGCAGCUACUUCUCUGUCCAGGCUACGAAGCAACACCAGGUAACCAGCUUGCUUAUAAGGAUCUUCUGAAUGAAUGAAACUAGUUUCUACAUGGAAAUUAUUCUGCGAAUUACCACUGAUGAUCGAAUAAUCAACGUAUGUGUUUUCACGGGUCCAGUCAUGGUCCAUGGUUGAAAAUGUGAGAAGCGUGCCUCCAAUUUGAGCAUCUUCACUCAAGCUAAGAUUAUAAUAUUCUACUGCAAACUCAGGGGCAUAAUUGUUCGUAUCUUGUAUUUCUAUUUCUACUAAGGUAAGAGCGCUUAGGUCAGGAAUACCACCAUCACUGGCUUCAACGAGAAACUGAAUUGUUGAUAUUUUAUCCAGAGGUAAUACAGGAUUGAUAGUAAAUAUUGUGCCUGAAAAACAAGACAUAGCAUUUCAAUGCUGUGAAAUUAAAUUUUCAUGAUCCACUUGUCAGCAAAUAUUUAUCAAAUAUUUACUAAUGUGUUGUUUUUAUUUGCUAAGUUUUGUUAUUUAAGUUACAACCAAGAGUAACUCCAAAGAGAAAUUUUAAAUUAUUGUAUUUAGACUUUUGUAACACUUGAGAUCCAGAAGUAAUACUCCUGGCAGUCACUCUAUUAAAUAUAUGUGCUAUUGGAAGAUGACUUUGCUACAAAUGUCUCUUAAUUUUAUUUUUGUAAAAUAAACUGUUCCAUUACUAUUUCUUAA